CUCCGAGCUCCCCCAGAGCUGCUUCCCACGCCGUGGCCAACAACGACGGCAGAAACCUGGGAACCUGCUCAGCAGGUCAGAACAGGCACAAGGAAGAUCAUGUGUUUGGAUAUUGCAAGGACAAUCUUGAUUUCAAAUAUUGUGUCCCUGUGCUCCUGCUGUACACCUAAGCCAAACCGGUCGGAGUGGGUUGUGCGGAAAUUUCUGUUUGUGUCAGUGGGACCUGAGGU